GUUUGAUCCUGGCUCAGAACGAACGCUGGCGGCAUGCCUAACACAUGCAAGUCGAACGAGAUCCUUCGGGGUCUAGUGGCGCACGGGUGCGUAACGCGUGGGAAUCUGCCCUUGGGUUCGGAAUAACAGUUAGAAAUGACUGCUAAUACCGGAUGAUGUCGCCAAAGAGAUUUGGGGACCAAAGAUUUAUCGCCCAAGGAUGAGCCCGCGUAGGAUUAGGUAGUUGGUGGGGUAAAGGCCUACCAAGCCGACGAUCCUUAGCUGGUCUGAGAGGAUGAUCAGCCACACUGGGACUGAGACACGGCCCAGACUUCUACGGGAGGCAGCAGUGGGGAAUAUUGGACAAUGGGGGCAACCCUGAUCCAGCAAUGCCGCGUGAGUGAUGAAGGCCUUAGGGUCGCAAAGCUCUUUUACCAGGGAUGAUAAUGACAGUACCUGGAGAAUAAGCUCCGGCUAACUCCGUGCCAGCAGCCGCGGUAAUACGGAGGGAGCUAGCGUUGUUCGGAAUUACUGGGCGUAAAGCGUGCGUAGGCGGUUAUUCAAGUCAGAGGUGAAAGCCCGGGGCUCAACCCCGGAACGGCCUUUGAAACUAGAUAACUAGAAUCUUGGAGAGGUCAGUGGAAUUCCGAGUGUAGAGGUGAAAUUCGUAGAUAUUCGGAAGAACACCAGUGGCGAAGGCGACUGACUGGACAAGUAUUGACGCUGAGGUACGAAAGCGUGGGGAGCAAACAGGAUUAGAUACCCUGGUAGUCCACGCCGUAAACGAUGAUAACUAGCUGUCCGGACACUUGGUGUUUGGGUGGCGCAGCUAACGCAUUAAGUUAUCCGCCUGGGGAGUACGGUCGCAAGAUUAAAACUCAAAGGAAUUGACG
rnacentral:rRNA from 1 species